rnacentral:rRNA from 1 species
UACGUAGGGUGCGAGCGUUAAUCGGAAUUACUGGGCGUAAAGCGUGCGCAGGCGGUUUUGUAAGCCAGAUGUGAAAUCCCCGGGCUCAACCUGGGAAUGGCAUUUGGGACUGCAAGGCUAGAGUUUGGCAGAGGAGACUGGAAUUCCCGGUGUAGCAGUGAAAUGCGUAGAUAUCGGGAGGAAUACCGAUGGCGAAGGCAGGUCUCUGGGCUAUAACUGACGCUCAUGCACGAAAGCGUGGGGAGCAAACAGG